AUCUUAUCAAGAGCAGGUGGAGGGACUAGCCCUAUGAAACCCGGCAACCGGCGUGUAAACGCACGGUGCUAAUUCUUGCGGAAUUUCUGCAGACGUCUAAUCGUUUUCAGGAACAUUCUGGCAGAUGAGAG
rnacentral:ncRNA from 2 species